AUACAGAGGGUGCGAGCGUUAAUCGGAAUUACUGGGCGUAAAGCGCGCGUAGGCGGCUAAGUAAGUCGGAUGUGAAAGCCCUGGGCUUAACCUGGGAAUUGCAUUCGAUACUGCUUGGCUAGAGUAUGGUAGAGGAUAGUGGAAUUCCUGGUGUAGCGGUGAAAUGCGUAGAUAUCAGGAGGAACAUCAGUGGCGAAGGCGGCUAUCUGGACCAAUACUGACGCUAAGGUGCGAAAGCGUGGGGAGCAAACAGGAUUAGAAACCCUAGUAGUCC
rnacentral:rRNA from 1 species